rnacentral:misc_RNA from 1 species
ACGAAGGGCAGCAGUCGGGAAUUUUGGACAAUGGGGAAACCUGAUCCAGCCAUCCCGCGUGUGCGAUGAAGGCCUUCGGGUUGUAAAGCACUUUUGGCAGGAAAAACGGCGCAGGAUAAUACCCGUGCAACUGACGGUACCUGCAGAAUAAGCACCGGCUAACUACGUGCCAGCAGCCGCGGUAAUGCGUAGGGUGCAAGCGUUAAUCGGAAUUACUGGGCGCAAAGCGUGCGCAGGCGGUUCUGAAGAAGAUGUGAAAUCCCAGAGCUUAACUUUGGAACUGCAUUUUUAACUACCGAGCUAGAGUGUGUCAGAGGGAGGUGGAAUUCCGCGUGUAGCAGUGAAAUGCGUAGAUAUGCGGAGGAACACCGAUAGCGAAAACAGCCUCCUGGGAUAACACUGACGCUCAUGCACGAAAGCGUGGGGAGCAAACAGGAUUAGAUACCCCGGUAGU